AUGAGCACUCGUUGGUUUGUUACUCAGUUUGUGUUUGGGCUGCGGGAUGAAAUCAGAGGUCCAGUUCGGUUGCAGGCUCCCACUAGUGUCACUCGAGCUGUAACUCUAGCCAAAAUUCAGGAAGAAGAAGCAGAGCAUCAGCGUCCCCGCGGCCGACCUCCAGCACCUACCAAACAUCCACCUAGUGUUACCGGAGCAGCUGUUACACCAGCAGUGUCACACACAGAAUGGCCUCGCCGUCAAGGCAAUGAUGAUUUUAACAGGGAACGGCAGAUUCGUGAUUUUCGGCGCGCCAAUGGUCUUUGUUUUAAAUGUGGGGAUAAGUAUUCCAAAGAGCAUCAGUGUAAAAGAUCAGGUCAGCUACUCACUACUGAAGUUGGAGAAUUUGGUGAAGUAUUAUCAGAUGAUGCAGUGGUUGCUCUGAAUCUCUUGGAAGAAACAACAAUAGCCGCUACUUGCUAUCAUCUUUCCGUGCAUGCUCUCGCGGGAACAGAAGCUUUGGAAACAGUUCGCAUUCGUGCUUUGGUGGGAAAUCAGGUGAUGCUCUUGCUUAUUGACUCUGGCAGCACACACACGUUUGUAAAUAAGAGCUUUGUAGAGCGUGUUGGGUGUACUAUUCAGUCAGUCCCAACAGUUUCAGUUAAGGUAGCAAAUGGACAAAUUUUGUCAUCUGAUGCUCAAGUACAAGGGUUAUAGUGGUGGACACAAGGAUCUACAUUUGUCACUCACAUGAGGGUCCUGGAGCUUGGGGCCUAUGAUGCCAUAUUAGGCAUGUACUGGCUAGAGCAGUUCAGUCCUAUGAUCUGCCAUUGGCGUCAGAAAACAUUAACAUUCGAUUAUUUGGGGAAAUCUAUUACACUACAGGGUGUCCUUUCUAAACCACAAGAGUCACUCCAGGAAAUGUCUGUGGAACAGUUAAAUAAGUGGACUUCUGGGAAUGAGGUCUGGGCCAUGGCUAUGAUUGAUCCUAUACAGCAAACAACAAAAUCGGUACCCAACAUAGUGCAAUCAGAUAUGCAGUCUUUACUCGAGGAAUAUCAUGAUGUUUUUGAUCAGCCCGCUACUUUGCCACCGCAUCGUGCUUUGGAUCAUUCGAUCUCGUUAGAACCAGGAGCUCAUCCAACAAACAGUCGCCCCUACCAGUACUCUCCAUUGCAAAAGGACGAGAUCGAACGUCAGGUCUCGGAAAUGCUUGACAGAGGGGUGAUUCAAACAAGCAUGAGUCCUUUCGCGUCUCCGGUGCUGUUAGUUAAAAAGAAGGACAACACUUGGUGA
rnacentral:rRNA from 1 species